UGGACUAUCGCCAAGCGGUAAGGCACGGGACUUUGACUCCCGAAUCCCGGGUUCGAAUCCCGGUGGUCUAG
rnacentral:tRNA from 1 species